rnacentral:RNase_P_RNA from 3 species
GCGGCAAACCGUUCUAUCGCUGUUUCGCAAGAAAGAGAGGAAAGUCCGGGCAAGGCAGAGUACCAUGCUUCUUAACUGGAAGAUAGGCGUAAGCUUAUAGUAGUGGAACAGAAAAUAACCGCCUUAUUUCUUCGGAAUUAGGGUAAGGGUGAAAAGGUGAGGUAAGAGCUCACCAGUACUUAUGGUGACAUAGGUAGCUGUGUGCCUCAUGGCUUGCAAGACCAAGUAUACCGACAGCUGUAGAUUUUACUCGGUCGAUGUCGGGGGGUAGGUUGCUCGAGACAUAUGGUGACAUAUGUCCUAGAUAAAUGAUAGAAGUUCCUUUCGAGGAAAACAGGACCCGGCUUAUAGGUUUGCCACCUUU